rnacentral:rRNA from 1 species
UACGUAGGGGGCAAGCGUUGUCCGGAUUUAUUGGGCGUAAAGAGCUCGUAGGCGGUUCGGUAAGUCGGGUGUGAAACCUCCAGGCUCAACCUGGAGACGCCACCCGAUACUGCUGUGACUAGAGUCCGGUAGGGGAGCGUGGAAUUCCUGGUGUAGCGGUGAAAUGCGCAGAUAUCAGGAGGAACACCGGUGGCGAAGGCGGAUCUCUGGGCCAUUACUGACGCUGAGGAGCGAAAGCGUGGGGAGCGAACAGG